AGCAUUUGGACGUGGGUGAGUCGGUCCUAAGAGAUGUGCGAAAGCAUGGUUAGUAAGGGUGCAGAUGUGCGGUCCUCUCAACGGGGCACGCAUCUCGGGUUUGGUCCCYUCUUGGGGAUUGGCGKYCGGUGGCACCAGCUCUCGAAAGGGCAUCGGGUUAAUAUUCCCGAACCAGACACCUGGAUGCUGCCCGUUUUUCYUYUGSCUGGCCYCUUCACGGGGGYUGGGUGGGGGGGGCGGGUGGAGCACGGCAACGUAUAUGUAUGUGUGUAWCCUCGGCGACGCUUGCGAUAGCCCUGGGAAGAGUUGUCUUUUCUUCUUAACCGUACCAACCGUGUGCACAGCCCUGGAAGCAGUUUACCUUGAGAGAGGGCUGGAGGUCGGGUAAAG
rnacentral:rRNA from 1 species